UACGUAGGGGGCUAGCGUUGUCCGGAAUCAUUGGGCGUAAAGCGCGUGUAGGCGGUCCGGUAAGUCCGCUGUGAAAGUCGGGGGCUCAACCCUCGGAUGCCGGUGGAUACUGUCGGGCUUGAGUACGGAAGAGGAGAAUGGAAUUCCUGGUGUAGCGGUGAAAUGCGCAGAUAUCAGGAAGAACACCCGUGGCGAAGGCAGCUCGCUGGGACGGUACUGACGCUGAGGCGCGAAAGCGUGGGGAGCAAACAGG
rnacentral:rRNA from 1 species